rnacentral:siRNA from 1 species
UGAACUGACCACAAUCAUUGCUGC